CAGUAGCCGCGGUAAUACGGAGGGUGCAAGCGUUAAUCGGAAUUACUGGGCGUAAAGCGCACGCAGGCGGUCUGACAAGUCAGAUGUGAAAUCCCCGGGCUUAACCUGGGAACUGCAUUUGAAACUGUCAGGCUGGAGUCUUGUAGAGGGGGGUAGAAUUCCAGGUGUAGCGGUGAUAUGCGUAGAGAUCUGGAGGAAUACCGGUGGCGAAGGCGGCCCCCUGGACAAAGACUGACGCUCAGGUGCGAAAGCGUGGGGAGCAAACAGGAUUAGAUACCCGCGUAGUCCCUGUCUCUUAUAC
rnacentral:rRNA from 1 species